CCUCCGGGAGGUCGGCCGGAGACGGAGCUGGACCGACCUCCUCCGGGAGGUCGGCCGGAGACGGAGCUGGACCGACCUCCUCCGGGAGGUCGGCCGGAGACGGAGCUGGACCGACCUCCUCCGGGAGGUCGGCAGGAGCUGCAACAGACACUGCGGCAGACGCUGCGGCCGGGACGACCCCCUCCUGGGGAUCGUCAGGGGCUGCGGCCUCCGAGGGGCAGACAGUGGCAGGAACUAGAACGGCGUCCUCCUCAGGGGAGCCGACAGGAACUGGGACUAGAACGGCCUCUACUUGGCCGACAGGAACUAGAACGGCGUCCUCCUCUGAGGAGCCGACAGGAACUGGGACUAGAACGGCCUCUACUUGGCCGACAGGAACUAGAACGGCGUCCUCCUCUGAGGAGCCGACAGGAACUCGGACUCGGACUAGAACGGCCUCUACUUGGCCGACAGGAACUAGAACGGCGUCCUCCUCUGAGGAGCCGACAGGAACUGGGACUAGAACGGCCUCUACUUGGCCGACAGGAACUAGAACGGCGUCCUCCUCUGAGGAGCCGACAGGAACUGGGACUAGAACGGCCUCUACUUGGCCGACAGGAACUAGAACGGCGUCCUCCUCUGAGGAGCCGACAGGAACUGGGACUAGAACGGCCUCAAUAUGGCCGACAGGAACGGGAGCGGCCUCAAUAUGGCCGACAGGAACGGGAGCGGCCUCAAUAUGGCCGCCAGGAACAGGAACUGAGGCCUGGUGUGACUGGCCAGGGGUGUCCGCUAGCUGGCGUAAAGAUGGAGCUUGAUCUUGAGCCGAGGCUUGAACCUGACGUGACUGAGCUGGAGCUUGAUCUUGGGCUUGAGCUGGACCUUGAACUUGACGUGACGCAGCCGAGGCUCGAGCUGCUGCAGGCUGGGCUGAGGCUUGGCAUGGCUGAGGUGAGGCGUGAGCUGGAGCUUGGCAUGGCUGAGGUGAGGCGUGGGCGGGAGUUGCUGCCGCCAGUGGUGCAGCCAGAGACGCUGGGGCCGGUGGUGCAGACUUAG
rnacentral:lncRNA from 1 species